rnacentral:misc_RNA from 1 species
GAUGAAGAACGUAGUGAAAUGCGAUACUUGGUGUGAAUUGCAGAAUCCCGUGAACCAUCGAGUCUUUGAACGCAAGUUGCGCCCGAAGCCAUUAGGCCGAGGGCACGCCUGCCUGGGCGUCACACGUCGUUGCCCCCCCCCAUCUACUCCUUCGGGAUUGCGGGGGGCGGAUGAUGGCCUCCCGUGCGCCUCGCCGCGCGGUUGGCAUAAAUGCCAAGUCCUCGGCGACGCACGCCACGACAAUCGGUGGUUGCGAAACCUCGGUUGCCCGUCGUGUGCGGUCGUCGCGCAUCGAGGGCUCGAAAAAAUUGCCGAGUUCCGGCUCGGCUUUCAACGCGACCCCAGGUCAGGCGGGGUUACCCGCUGAAUUUAAGCAUAUCAAUAAGCGGAGGA